GUAGCUUUAUUUAAGUGGGAAUUAAUUGAAUUUGCAAGUUUGGGGUUGAACAAUGGGGUUAGAGAUUCUGCGGCUGCAUGGUGUAGAAUAAAACUUGUUGUAAGUCAAGAAGAACCCACAGAAAUAUCAGUUAUCAAAAAGAAACGGGGGUCAUUUGUUUCAUAGUUCUAUUUUUUAUUGUCAACUCCAGAAAGUACUUUACUUUUAUUAGUACAACAGUGAAGCUUCAAUCUUCAAAACUAUUGUGUUUAAGUACAUGUACUAGAAAAAACCAGUGUUGCUCGGCCUCAAACGAUCCGUCAUGUACGUAGUACCAUAGGUGCUCACAUCUACAGCGCGCCUUGGCACUGCCGGCAGCCAACUUCGCAUACCGUGAGUAAAAUUCUCCACCAACAACAAAAAAAUGACAAAAAAGCAACAACCAAAAAGGCAACGCAUAUAAACGCCUUUUAAAGAUAUAGUUUGAAUACUGCCUUUCGCGUUAUGGAUGCGAUUUAUUGAUGGAAAAUAGCUAAAUUGCUGCCAUAAAAUUCUUCUUUUUUUACUUCUCAAUAUUCAUAAGCACAUUGUCAUUAUCGCCCAAAGUCACUUAUCAUUUUUUUUAUUUUUCAUACUUUGUUAGUUGCUAUCACUAAAAAAACCGUUUUCAUAUCUUUUAUCUUCUAAUAUCCAUAGAAUAGAAUCUCUUGUAAGGGCCCUUGGUGUACAUAAAAUAUAGAUUUUUUUUUCAAGAAAAGGCCUCUGAAAAUUUGAAAAAAUGAAUUAUAAUAUUACAAUUUGAUCAGUAACAACUUCAUUUUUUCUAAAAUUGAGGAACACUUUUUCUUAUGUAAGUUUGCAUUUAUUUUGUGUGUAUCGGUGGUCUUUAAUAUAUAUCAGAAGAAAAAAUAUUGGUUUUGUUACAUUAGCGAUACUUAAAUUCAAGAUUUGGUUGCAUGAUACCAAAGGCAUACAAAUAUCAAUAUUUUUUCCUACUCCCAAAACAAAAUGCAUAAUAAAUUAUGCUAUGCAUUCCUGCAUGACGAAUCAAUCAUCUUCUUGUCCCUUGCCAAUGUCACUAUGUAAUAAAUACAAGCAUUGCACAUCAUAUUCAUCUUAUUGCAAUAGAAUUGAAUUGCUACUCUAGUACACACUUUCCACGAAAAAAAAAAACAAAACUAAAACAAAGAUAGAAGUAAAGAACAAAUAAACAAAAAAAUUUAAGAGUUGGUUGAGGUUUGUCAGAAAAACUUUGUCGAGCACAACAAGCCAAGAUACGUGCUUUUAAAUUCAACAGCUGGGCGCGCUGAUCAACUGUAUAAUGGCAAAGAAGAAAACUGACUCCCACGUGAUACACGUACUCGAUUGACGAGUGUGUCACAAGAGGAGAGAGGCAGAGAGAACCAACAAUCGUUGACGAUGGUUGGUUUUGCGUCAAGACGACGGUGUCUCGCGGCUCCAAUUGAAGAAAACUCCGCCGUGUUUCGUUUAAUCCAGUGCAACGACUACUAGCCAGUGUAUUAGCCCAGACAGCUCGAUGAAAAAAUCUAAAAAUUGGCUCUUCUCCAAACGUACAUCAACGUUGCGUUCUCCUGAGUGUAAAAUUUAACAGAGAAGGAUUCGACACACACAGG
rnacentral:lncRNA from 1 species